ensembl:misc_RNA 7SK 7SK RNA
GAAAAUGGUUCAGAUGUGACAGCAUGUCACCUAGUUGAUUUCCAGUGUUCAACUGACUGCUCUAGCUGACAAGUGUCCUCUUCCUCCUUCAUUGCUUCACCUGAGCCAUUCUUGAUGCUGGAUGUUUGGUCUAAGAGGACCAUCUUUGUGGAAUAGAGAUAAUAUCGUUCUUUGGUGGAAGAGUAAAAGCAGCCUCAUUUCCCUAUUGGAGAAAACUUUAAACAAGCUCUUAACUAAACUUCUGGGUAGAUUGUAGAAAUUU